CUUAUAAACCUUCCUGGAGGAGCUUGCUAUUUAACCGAUAAUCCACGUAACACCUCACCAACUUUGGAACACUCAGCCUGUAUACCAUCGUCGUCAGUCUACUCCUCAAGGAAAGUAUACAAAAGGGACACACGCCCACAACGUCAGAUCGAGGUGCAGCUUAUAAGUUGGAAAUCAGUGAGCUACAAUAUUCCCACAACAAACAUACCAAACAACAUUUUGGAAAGAUAAAUGAACAUUUUAUCCCCAAACAGGAUUCAGAAGUAAUGGCCAAAAGACAAUGACCAUGAACAAAAAGCUCUAUAAUUCGC
rnacentral:rRNA from 1 species